UGAUUUCAUUUCUCCUGUUUUGACAACAG
rnacentral:piRNA from 1 species